GGGCGCCUGUGAUCCCAAC
rnacentral:miRNA from 1 species